UACAGAGGGUGCAAGCGUUGUUCGGAAUUAUUGGGCGUAAAGGGCGCGUAGGCGGCGCGGUAAGUCGGGUGUGAAAUCUCGGAGCUUAACUCCGAAACUGCAUUCGAUACUGCCGUGCUUGAGGACUGGAGAGGAGACUGGAAUUUACGGUGUAGCGGUGAAAUGCGUAGAUAUCGUAAGGAACACCAGUGGCGAAGGCGGCUACCUGGACAAAUACUGACGCUGAGGCGCGAAAGCGUGGGGAUCAAACAGG
rnacentral:rRNA from 1 species